UCCCAGGUGGCUUAGUGGUAAAGAAUCUGCCUGCUAAUGCAGGAGAUACAGGUUCGAUUCCUAGAUUGGGAA
rnacentral:tRNA from 1 species